UAAUUUUCAGAUGGAUGUGUUUUUGCAGGUUAUACAGGGAUCAGUUAGAAGCGGAAGGUGUGUUGGACCACGUUAUUGAUCGUAGAAUUCAGAAAGAAUUUUCUUGAUGGUUUAAAUCGUAUGUAAGUUUUCUGCUUUUUUAGAACAAACUUAUAUUAGCCAUGCUUUUGUUGUACAGAUUGAAAAGAUGCCUGAAGGAGAGGACUCUGAUGACCUAUAUGCAUUAUCAGCUGUACG
rnacentral:lncRNA from 1 species